ACCCUUUAACGUUUGAUGUUCUAACCCAGACCCGUAAUCCGGGUCGGGGACCGUGUCUGGUGGGUAGUUUGACUGGGGCGGUCUCCUCCCAAAGAGUAACGGAGGAGCACGAAGGUUGGCUAAGCAUGGUCGGACAUCAUGCGGUUAGUGCAAAGGCAUAAGCCAGCUUGACUGCGAGAGUGACGGCUCGAGCAGGUACGAAAGUAGGUCUUAGUGAUCCGGUGGUUCUGAAUGGAAGGGCCAUCGCUCAACGGAUAAAAGGUACUCCGGGGAUAACAGGCUGAUACCGCCCAAGAGUUCAUAUCGACGGCGGUGUUUGGCACCUCGAUGUCGGCUCAUCACAUCCUGGGGCUGAAGUAGGUCCCAAGGGUAUGGCUGUUCGCCAUUUAAAGUGGUACGCGAGCUGGGUUUAGAACGUCGUGAGACAGUUCGGUCCCUAUCUGCCGUGGGCGCUGGAAGAUUGAGAGGGGUUGCUCCUAGUACGAGAGGACCGGAGUGAACGCACCACUGGUGUACGGGUUGUGAUGCCAAUUGCAUUGCCCGGUAGCUAAGUGCGGAAGAGAUAACCGCUGAAAGCAUCUAAGCGGGAAACUUGCCUCGAGAUGAGUCUUCCCUGACCCUUUAAGGGUCCUGAAGGAACGUUUGAGACUAAGACGUUGAUAGGCU
rnacentral:rRNA from 1 species